CUUGCUCCCGGAUGUUAGCGGCGGACGGGUGAAGUAACACGUGGGUAACCUGCCUGUAAGACUGGGAUAACUCCGGGAAACCGGAGCUAAUACCGGAUAGUUCCUUGAACCGCAUGGUUCAAGGAUGAAAGACGGUUUCGGCUGUCACUUACAGAUGGACCCGCGGCGCAUUAGCUAGUUGGUGGGGUAAUGGCUCACCAAGGCGACGAUGCGUAGCCGACCUGAGAGGGUGAUCGGCCACACUGGGACUGAGACACGGCCCAGACUCCUACGGGAGGCAGCAGUAGGGAAUCUUCCGCAAUGGACGAAAGUCUGACGGAGCAACGCCGCGUGAGUGAUGAAGGUUUUCGGAUCGUAAAGCUCUGUUGUUAGGGAAGAACAAGUGCGAGAGUAACUGCUCGCACCUUGACGGUACCUAACCAGAAAGCCACGGCUAACUACGUGCCAGCAGCCGCGGUAAUACGUAGGUUGCAAGCGUUGUCCGGAAUUAUUGGGCGUAAAGGGCUCGCAGGCGGUUUCUUAAGUCUGAUGUGAAAGCCCCCGGCUCAACCGGGGAGGGUCAUUGGAAACUGGGAAACUUGAGUGCAGAAGAGGAGAGUGGAAUUCCACGUGUAGCGGUGAAAUGCGUAGAGAUGUGGAGGAACACCAGUGGCGAAGGCGACUCUCUGGUCUGUAACUGACGCUNAGGAGCGAAAGCGUGGGGAGCGAACAGGAUUAGAUACCCUGGUAGUCCACGCCGUAAACGAUGAGUGCUAAUUGUUAGGGGGUUUCCGCCCCUUAGUGCUGCAGCUAACGCAUUAAGCACUCCGCCUGGGGAAUACGGUCGCAAGACUGAAACUCAGAGGAAUUGACGGGGGCCCCCACAACCGGUGGAACAUGUGGUUUAAUUCGAACCACCCGAAAAACCUUACCAGGUCUUGACUUCCCCUGACAACCCUAAAAAUAGGGCUUUCCCUUCGGGAACAAAUGACAGG
rnacentral:rRNA from 1 species